UUAAAAGCUCGUAGUUGAACCUUGGGUCUGGCUGGCCGGUCCGCCUCACCGCGAGUACUGGUCCGGCUGGACCUUUCCUUCUGGGGAACCUCAUGGCCUUCACUGGCUGUGGGGGGAACCAGGACUUUUACUGUGAAAAAAUUAGAGUGUUCAAAGCAGGCCUUUGCUCGAAUACAUUAGCAUGGAAUAAUAGAAUAGGACGUGCGGUUCUAUUUUGUUGGUUUCUAGGACCGCCGUAAUGAUUAAUAGGGAUAGUCGGGGGCGUCAGUAUUCAGCUGUCAGAGGUGAAAUUCUUGGAUUUGCUGAAGACUAACUACUGCGAAAGCAUUCGCCAAGGAUGUUUUCAUUAAUCAGGGAACGAAAGUUAGGGGAUCGAAGACGAUCAGAUACCGUCGUAGUCUUAACCAUAAACUAUGCCGACUAGGGAUCGGGCGGUGUUUCUAUGAUGACCCGCUCGGCACCUUACGAGAAAUCAAAGUUUUUGGGUUCUGGGGGGAGUAUGGUCGCAAGGCUGAAACUUAAAGAAAUUGACGGAAGGGCACCACAAGGCGUGGAGCCUGCGGCUUAAU
rnacentral:rRNA from 1 species